CAUUAGUACCACCCACAGGGUUUUGGAACACAACCAAUAAACACAUACAAUACACUCAGACACUCCCACACAAAUUCCUCCCCUCUGCAUGUGAUUCAAUUACCUUACACAAUGGGUAAUGUAAUUUAGCACAAGCAGAGAAAUAAAAUUUUUCCACAUUAUUUAUAACUUGAAAAGUAUGCAUCACAUUCACAUAAAACUUACAUUUUCAGAAUCAGCAUACUCCAAAUACAAACAUA